UGAGGAAUAUUGGUCAAUGGGCGAGAGCCUGAACCAGCCAAGUCGCGUGAGGGAAGACGGUCCUACGGAUUGUAAACCUCUUUGUCGGGAGCAAUAAGGCGUACGCGUACGCAGAUGCGAGUACCCGAAGAAAAAGCAUCGGCUAACUCUGUGCC
rnacentral:rRNA from 1 species